rnacentral:rRNA from 1 species
UACGGGGGGGGCAAGCGUUGUUCGGAAUUACUGGGCGUAAAGGGCGCGUAGGCGGUUGGAUAAGUCAGCUGUGAAAACCACGGGCUUAACUCGUGGCCUGCAGUUGAGACUGUCUGGCUUGAGUGUGGGAGAGGAGAGUGGAAUUCCUGGUGUAGCGGUGAAAUGCGUAGAUAUCAGGAGGAACACCGGUGGCGAAGGCGGGUCUCUGGGCCGAUACUGACGCUGAGGAGCGAAAGCGUGGGGAGCAAACAGG